UGGGGAAUCUUCCGCAAUGGACGAAAGUCUGACGGAGCAACGCCGCGUGAGUGAUGACGGCCUUCGGGUUGUAAAGCUCUGUUAAUCGGGACGAAUGGUUCUUGUGCGAAUAGUGCAAGGAUUUGACGGUACCGGAAUAGAAAGCCACGGCUAACUACGUGCCAGCAGCCGCGGAAAUACGUAGGUGGCAGGCGUUGUCCGGAAUUAUUGGGGGUAAAGCGCGCGCAGGCGGAUUGGCCAGGCUGUCUUAAAAGUUCGGGGCUUAACCCCGUGAUGGGAUGGAAACUGCCAAUCUAGAGUAUCGGAGAGGAAAGUGGAAUUCCUAGUGUAGCGGAGAAAUGCGUAGAUAUUAGGAAGAACACCAGUGGCGAAGGCGACUUUCUGGGCGAAAACUGACGCUGAGGCGCGAAAGCCAGGGGAGCGAACGGG
rnacentral:rRNA from 1 species